GAAAAGCAGCUGUGAAGUCAUAAUUAUGUUCACUUCCCACUGGCAACUGGCAAGCCCUUUAUUUUUGUGCAUUCGGAACUCACCAAGAAUAAAUAAAGUCCAUUCCCUCCUUGAGGGGCUAUUCUGCCAUUCCAUCUAGGAUUUAAAAGUUUGCCAAUUCCUAAAACAUCUAUUGUUAUAAAUAGUCUUGUGUCUUUCACAAAGCGGACUUUACAAAAUAAG
rnacentral:sRNA from 1 species